GAUGAAGAACGCAGCGAAAUGCGAUAAGUAAUGCGAAUUGCAGAAUUUCCGUGAGUCAUCGAAUCUUUGAACGCACAUUGCGCCCACUGGUAUUCCGGUGGGCAUGCCUGUUCGAGCGUCAUUAUCCUCCCUCAAACCCCUGGGUUUGGUGUUGGACUGUGUGGUGCCUGGCACCACUGGUCUCAAAGACAAUGACGGCGUCCGUGGGACCCUCGGUGCAACGAGCUUUUCGAAGCACGCGUCGAGUGGACAGUCUCUCCGGGCCGGUCACCUCUCCAAUUUUUCUCAGGUUGACCUCGGAUCAGGUAGGAAUACCCGCUGAACUUAAGCAUAUCAAUAAGCGGAGGA
rnacentral:misc_RNA from 1 species